GUAUGCCUUUCUUACAGUGGGAUAAGCUUUACCUUUUGAUAUGGUAAUUGGGUAAUUCAAUACCUUUACAAGUCAGGAAAGAGGUAACCACUUCCCCCUAUCUCCAUUCCUCCCUGUUCCUUCUUGGCUGUGCUACUGAGCAGUCCCUUAAGCAGACAUGGCCUAAUUUCUAUCAUGGUGAACUGUGAGUGGGAUUUUAUAAGAUGUAGUUGUUAUUGUUAGUUAGGUUGUUGUUGCUGUUGUUGGUGGUAUAGUUAGUUAGAUUGUGUGUCAUUAUUUGUAUGUUGUUGUUGUUUUGUCUCUGAAUAAAUAUUUGUUAAAGUAGACGGACCAGAGUUUAUAUGUGUAUGCGUACAUAAUAAUUUAUAGAGUUUGGUAAUUUACCACAUUUGGCGACCACGAAUUUUAGACUUCUACAACAAAUGUUUGUGAGGCGCAAUAACUACCAUAUUGAUACAUAAUCUAAGAGUAAGAGACUUUAUAGCAUAGGAUUCAUUUUGUUGAAACAAAUAUACAUAUGUGUUUUGUUGACUGUUUUGAAUUUGUGUAUUGUGACUGACAGAACAUAUUUUGUUGCAAAUUGUAGCAUUUAUAGGUUUAACUUUGUUUCUGUACAGUUUUAAAGUAUUGGUGAUAAAGGGGAAAAAUUUUAUAGUUUCACUGUAUUGGAAACUUUGAUGUUUUGGCCAUUUUUAAUUGCCCAUGUGCUGUAUUGUCUCUCUCUUGUUGCAACUAACUAGAAUGAAACUUAAUCUAUUUUAAUUGUUUUCUUAGAUGUUAAAUUGUGUGGCUUCACUGCAUUCUAAGUUUAAAUAGCAAACUUUUUUGUUGUUAUCUUUUGUCUGUUUGAAUCAUUGAAUUCAGGAUAGGAGCAUAAUGUUUGUGCAUUAUGACUGACAGAACGUUUUUUGUUGCAAAUUGUAGCAUUUAUAGUUUAAUUUUGUUUAUGUACAGUUUUAAAGUAUUGGUGAUUAAAGGGGAAGUUUGAAUAGUUGCACUGCAUUGGAACUAUUGAAGUUUCGGCCAUUUUUAAUAGCCCAUGUGCUGUAUUGUCUCUCUCCUGUUACAACUAACUAGAACUAAACUGAAUAUAUUGUAAUUGUUUUUAGAUGUGACAUUUUGUACAUUUUGUGGCUUCCCUGCAUUCUAAGUUUAAAUAGCAAACUGUUUUUUUUUGGUUAUCUUUUGUCUGUUUGAACCAUUGAAUUCUGGGUAGGAGCAUUGUGUUUACAUGAUAAAGGUAUUGGGGCUAAUACAGUGUGGUGGCUAUUGUUUAGCCAGUCUAAAAUUGGAAUUUUUACCCUGGAGUGUGUUUAAUAGAAAAUGAACAGUUUGUAUUUGAGGUAAAGGUGCCUAUGUUAGAUUGUUAUAUGGUUGGGAAUUAUCAUUGUGCUGAAGUUACAGUCAGGUAUUUUUCAGUUCCCAUACCUUCCUUUAAAUCAUUCUGUUUAUUUGUAAACCCCCCAUACUGCACUUAAACAAAGGCAGAAGGGUGGUUUUGUGUUUUGCUGCCUGUGGGCAUUUGUUGUAUUGAGACUGUGAAGUUUUUUUUCUUAAAAGACAAGAGUUUGUUUGAACCAUUUGAGAAACUUAAUUACAUUAACCUAUUCAAACAAACUCUUGUCUUUUAAGAAAAAAAACUUCACAGUCUAGGUUUUGGAGUUCAGUGAACCAUUUGAGAAACUUAAUUACAUUAACCUAUUCAAUCUCUUUGGAGCCAGUUUCAGUUUUUUAAAAAUUAAUCCCAUUGUUAAAAGCUUGUUGUUUUUUUACUUAGUCUGCUGGUCUAUUUCGAUUAAAGACUCAGGGAGAGCUCGGUUUUAAAAUGUCAUAUCUAGGUACUAAGUAUUUUGUAUGAUGGACCAUAUGAGCUUCCAGAACCAGCAGGCCCCAAUUGUGGAAAAUAUGAAGGUUUCAUGGCUGUUUUGACACAAAUUGUUACUAAUAAAAAGUGCCAUAUUAAGAAAAGGAAAAGCUUGGUGGUACAAGCAGUUGUUGCUGCAAUAGGGGGUUUGGCAAGCAUGGUAUUUAAAUUGCAGAAAGCUAAUUUAGUAACCACUAAUAAAAUGGAAGAAGCUCUUGAUGAAAGAGAUUGUUUUAAAAUAGCUGCCCUAAGAACAAACAAAAUGAUCGAGGGGUUGGCGAAGGAAUUAAAGGAAAUAGAACAACAGAGAGAUGCAUAUAGUGCUAAGAUCACUGAACUCCAAAACCUAGUUAUGGAAUAUAAAAUGAAAACUAAAGAAAACAUAAAUAAAUGGGAUAAGGAGAUUCCUAAAGUAUGCCCAGGCCAGUCUCAUUUUAUAUCUAAAAGUACAGAACCAGCGCUCGCAACCAAACACAAGGGAAAUGCGCCAGUUGUUAACUGUAUCCCACAAGCCCCUUUAAUAAUAACUGAACACUUUAAUGCAAGAGAAAUGCCUACUAGUUUCUCUAGACAGACAAGCACUAUGUCAAUCACAGACAAAGAAAAUUUCCAGAAAUGGUGGGGAAGUAUGCCAAAUAGCAACUUUAAUACUUUUACACACUGGUUUAUGAGGGGAGCAAAUAGAGCUUAAAAAGGAGAUCUUAACUUAAAGGAAUGGACAGAACUGUUAGAAUAUGCUAUGGGUCCUUGGCUAGUAGACUAUUGGGAUUCAAUAACAGUGUGUCUGAUCAGGCAGGAAGAAUUGCUGCAACUAAUUUCUAUCUACUCAGCAUAGAGAAAGAAAUAGCGAAUAUUACGAUGAGGCCAGCAGAUGGUCCUAGAGAGGUAGCUCAAAGGAUAUUUUUCUGGUAUACACUAUGCCAGCCUCAACAGCCCCUGGUGUUGGGCUCACCAGAACACAUUGCUAAAGUAAUGGAAGCCCUUCCCUGGGAGUGUUAAGAAUUUGUCAGGCUUUUUGAUCCAACACCAGCAGACUUAGAAAUGGUACUAACUAGAGCUGACAAUUGGUGGAUUAAGCAUCCUUUCUCAGAACAGGCCUUCUUUGUUUCAGCCAUAAGAACAUUCAAGGUUGACUCUGGUAGAGAUUUAGAUGGUAAAUGGAGAAGCCAGAGGUGGGAUGUACCCCAGAACAAGAGGGAUAAUGAGAACUGGAGACCAAAACAGGACUUUGACAAAAGAUGGAGAGAUCCACAGAGGGACCAUAGGAAUAGGGACAGUUCUAAAGGAAGUAAUGUAAUGGGAGAUAAUUGGAAAAAUAGAUGGGAGGAGCCUAAGGCAAUCAAUAAUAAUUGGAAUAAUAAUAAUACCUGCGAGAGGCUAAAAAGGAGAGAUAACUGGGAAAAUCACAGUUGGCAAGAAAAACAGAGAAACAACAGGAACAAUUAUUGGGAGAAUAAUUGGAAAAGGAACCAUAGAUGGGAUGAGCAUCAGACCAAUAGACGGAAUUGGGAUAAUUGGAGGAAUAAAGAAGGGAAUAGAGACUACUGGUACCUAAAGAGACAGACUGAGAGAUUGGAGGCAGACGUAAAAGCGCUUAGGGAACAGAUGAGGGAGGGAAAUACUGAUCAAUUGGGGGUCCCCAGCAAUGAAUAACUCCCAUAAAUGUUGUUGUUCUCUACAUCUGUAUGUAUGUUUGUUUUUCUUUUGUUUCUAUAUUUUAUCUGUCUCCCCAUUCCAGUUUAAAGAUAUAUAUAUUUUAGUCAUAUUAAGGAUAAGCCUCUAAAUCCAUUAAUUACAGUCAGGUGGGCCAAAUUCCAAAUAAUUUUUGUUUUUAUUAGUUUAGCACGCCUGCACUGCCAGCUAUGUUUUAUUUAUUUUUUGAUGCUGGAUUAAUAAUUAUAAAUUCAUAGAUUAAGUGAAUUGUUGCCAACGUGAGGCUUAUAUUUGAUCACACUGGAGAGAUGUGAUAGUGUAACUUUCUGUUGGUUUACAACAGUAAAAACAUUAGAAGCAUUUUUUUUUUUUUUUGGUUCCCAACAAAUAUAACCUCAAGUUGAUUUUUGAUUUUGAUUUUUGAAUAGCAACAGACAGUUUUCUAUAGAUUGCACGCUGCCAAACUGUGUAAUGGUAGCAUUCAAUCUACUUUUUUUUUCUUCUCUCUCCAUCUUUGAUGCUUUGUUUUUUUUGUUUUGUUUUUUGUCAUUAAGAAUAUAGGGAAAUUAGAUUGCUUUGAGUGAAGAUGGCAUAAAUAAUAAAGUGACAAUGUAUGCUAUUUGUUCUAUUUGGCUAUCCGCAGGGGGUUAAAUAGUUAUGGGUAUGAGAAUUUGCACCUACGUUCAAUUGCGAAUACAUUUUUCACCCUUACAUCUUUCCCACUCACGUUCAUGUAUAAUAAAUUUCGGUUUAAACUAUGUACAUUUUGUGAUUAUUGCAUGUAUUCAUCAGUAAAUUAUAAAAUAACUAAUAUGGUUUUGUGUUCAACUCUCCAUCAGGUGUGGAGUAAAUGUCUAAAUUAAUCAAAAUUUCAGGAGACAUUUGUGGGUCUUUUACAUACCUCUAAAAUGUAAACAUAGCCUUAAGAUACCACAACCAAAUAGAUUUUAUUAGACAAAACUAAAUAAGCCUUUGACACAAGACAAUAUGCUGAUUACUGUUGUACAUAUUUCAUUGUCUGUGCUUGAUUCAAAGAACAUUUUAAUUGGAAGGCCCAGAGAGGCGAAGGUAACUGACAUGUCCUGUCACAGUUUACUAUACAGAUGAAGAAGUGCUGGGAUUACCAAGACAAACUAUUUUAUUCUGAAAAUGAUUCUGGGAUUACACGUCAAACUAUUAUCCUGAAAAUGGAUACUAUACAGAUGAAGAAGUGCUGAGAUUACCAAGUCUAUUAACACAGCCCAGAAUGAGGGUAAAGUAACAACAAGAAGCAGGAAUUUGUGUCAUUUCAAGGUGGUCACAGAAUGAGUUUCCCCUACACUCAUGAACUUGCAUGUGUCAUUAAACCUACAAACCUCAAGCUUUGUAAUGGAUUGUCAAAGACAAUAUUCAAGGAGAGUUCAUUCUAAAAUCACAGCUAUCAAGCACACAGAUCAGUCACAGUCUUCAGAUUCCAGUCCCAGGCGAAAUUAAACAUCAUAUUGUGUCAUAAACUAGUGAUAAUUACUGUAUGGGGUUGAUUGCGUCUAGAUAUUACUACUUCACAUGAACACAUUACCAUAUACUAUUAAUGAACAACUACCAGGGUUCUUACCAACCCACUAGGGCAGUGGUUAAUUUAAAAAUGAAACAACUGAAAACAAUUGAAAUUGGGGGAAUGUGGGGUGAUGCAACCCCUGUUUGACUAUAUUCUCUCACUUUUAAAUGUGCUCAACAUAAGAGAAAAAAAAGUGAGGGAAUGUGGUGACAUUCUGUCAAACUAAUAUGGUGACCAGGGAUCAUGUGACCAAGCUCAUGUAUGCCUUUCUUACAGUGGGAUAAGCUUUACCUUUUGAUUUGGUAAUUGGGUAAUUCAAUACCUUUACAAGUCAGGAAAGAGGUAACCACUUCCCCCUAUCUCCAUUCCUGCCUGUUCCUUCUUGGCUGUGCUACUAAGCAGUCCCUUAAGCAGACAUGGACUAAUUUCUAUCAUGGUGAACUGUGAGUGGGAUUUUAUAAGAUGUAGUUGUUAUUGUUAGUUAGGUUUUUGUUGCUGUUGUUGGUGGUAUAGUUAGUUAGAU